GUCACUUAUGCAGAUUUUAUGCAUUUGAAUUCAAAGAAAUAGUGAAAGUUUCACAAAUCAGAAACGAAAUUUUAUUUUUUUAUAAUAAUUAAUCACCCUAUAUCAUUAAAAAUCUCUACAAAUAAUCUUUGAUAUGUUCGUCAAAUUUGAUGUCAAUUUUUGAGUCAAUAGGAUGUGUUACUACUCUCUUCCGGUGAAGUUCCGUAACACAGUGUCUCAUAAUACACAGUACAAGCCUUCUGAACUUUAAUUGAAAAAAUUUAUUCCAUUCAUCAACAAUUGUCCCUCUUAAAUCAACAAUAUUUGCAAAGGUGGCUCUCUGCGAUUGAGAUAUCUGCCAGUGGUAUCCCAGUGUCAAUGGCUUCUUGCUCUUUGUACUCAGUUACAAUCCUUGCCCUGUGUGGUCUAGUGUUGUCGUCUAUGUACAAGGGUCUUGACGCAAAUGAAUGACUAUCUAAAUGAGGGACUACAAUGUUUCUGAGCACCAAAUACCUGGAUGUCUGUCAGUUCAUGAUACCCUGCAUAAUAUGCAUACACAGCUUACAACAGUAUGUAUGAGAAGCAACCCCAUACUGUAACACCACCAGCACCGAAUGCAGUCGUUGGGCAAAUGUUGUUUUGGUCAUAGGUAGUUUAAUAUCCACACCAAAUUUGUAUUAAGCCGUCUAUUGGUCGUAACAGAAACCGAUUCUUAUCUGGCAAAUGAACAUUUUGCCAGCUUCUCAUAUUCCUGGGUCGAUGGUCAUUAGCCCUUUUAAACCUGAUUAUAUGGUGCCUGACUGUUAGGGCAGGUCACUUGAUGUGCUCUUAGGUAGCCUCUAUGAGGUCAACAGACCAAUGUUCACACUAAAACGACCACCUGGAGGCCAGUGGUGUCUUAGCAGUGGGGCAGGAGUAAAUGGUUUGGCUUUUGCAAGACCAAUAAGCAGACUGUCAUCACGACAGGUCACGACAGGUCUUCUGGGCCUUGGUCUAUCAUUUACAGUUUCCGUGUCAACAUGACGUUGUAAAAACUGCCAAUGACGGUGUGAUUAACAUUGAAAUGGUUACCUAUGCUCCUAGUGCUCCUAUCGGCAUUUGACAUGUCAAUUGCUUGUGAACUUUCAGAAACAGAUAACUAAUGCCUUGCCAUAUUGUACAGUGACUUGGUGAAGGUCAAAUUUCACCUGUACACUGUACAGUAGGAAGAUGAUGUUAAGGCAUGGAAACAGUGUAUUCGUAAAAGUGCUGAUGACCUUUAAUAAAAAGUUACUUGGGAGGUUCAUCAGAGUUCAAUUUUUUUGGUCUUUAUGAAAUUUCUUAGUGUAUGUUAUAGGCAAUUCAUACCACCAAAUAUAAAUAUUUUUUUCGCAAUAAUUACAAAAAAAGUUAUAUUUAGGUGGUGCUUAACUUUUGGCGGACUGUAUAUAUGGAAUUGUAUGAUAAAAUGCAUUGUUUUACUAUUUUUAAAAGGUAUCAUGUGUAUCUAACUUAAAGAACAUAACUUAUAAGUUUACAUA
rnacentral:lncRNA from 1 species